CAGGAACAUUUUGUCCUGGUGGUUCAUCCCUUCCUAUUCCCUGUACCCCAGGCUCAUACUGUGCAUCUGCAGAGCUGGCUGCGCCAUCUGGUCCCUGUGAUGCUGGCUUUUACUGCAUUGGGGGGUCCACACUCCCCAACCCAACAGAUGGGGCAGUGGGAAAUAUUUGUCCUCCAGGCUACGUGUGUCCCCAAGGAAGUUCUUCUCCAUCUCCAUGUCCCUCAGGCUCUUUUUUGGCCCAUCAGGGUGGCCAAUCAGCACAAGAUUGCCAGCACUGUUUAGCAGGAUGGUUCUGCUCCCACCGAGGUCAAAGUACACCAGAGGGGAGAUGUAAGGAGGGCUGGUUUUGCCCAGAGGGGUCUGUAUCAGGCCUUAAUCCAGAUUAUAUAUGUCCUGUUGGUCACUAUUGCCCAACAGGCAGCCCAGAGCCCAAACCCUGUCCCUCUGGGAAAUACCAGGACCAGACUGGUCAAAGCCUGUGCAAGACGUGCCCAGCAGGAAAGUUCUGUGGCCCAGAAGUCCAAAUCCAAGAUCACAAGGAGACCUUUUCACAUGGAACGAUCAAGCCAGCAGAUUGCCCGGCUGGAUACUACUGCCUCUCAGGAACUAAAACUGCCAAGCAGUACCCAUGCCCCAAGGGCACCUUCAGUAACCAGACUGGGCUGAGCAAUUCCAAGGACUGCAGAGCUUGCCCUGGGGGAAAAUUCUGUGCAGAUGCAGGUCUCUUGACCCCGAGUGGCCCUUGUUUGCCCAGGUAUUACUGCAUUUUGAAGGCACGUGUACCUAAUCCUGUUAAAGAUGAAACUGGAGACUUGUGCCCAGCAGGACACUUCUGCCCACUGGGUAGCAGCAGCCCAG
rnacentral:lncRNA from 1 species